GACGUAGGGGGCCAGCGUUGUUCGGAAUUACUGGGUGUAAAGGGUUCGUAGGCGGUGCAGCAAGUUGGGAGUGAAAUCUCUGGGCUUAACCCAGAGGCUGCUUCCAAAACUGCUGUGCUUGAGUGUGGGAGAGGCGCGUGGAAUUGCAGGUGUAGCGGUGAAAUGCGUAGAUAUCUGCAGGAACACCCGUGGCGAAAGCGGCGCGCUGGACCACUACUGACGCUGAGGAACGAAAGCUAGUGGAGCAAACAGG
rnacentral:rRNA from 1 species